GACGAACGCUGGCGGCGUGCUUAACACAUGCAAGUCGAGCGAUGAAGCACCUUCGGGUGUGGAUUAGCGGCGAACGGGUGAGGAACACGUGAGGGAUCUGCCUUUCACUUCGGGAUAACUCCGGGAAACCGGGGCUAAUACCGGAUAUUUUCAACUGGCGGCAUCGCCGGUUGAAGAAAGUUUUUCGGUGAAAGAUGACCUCGCGGCCUAUCAGCUUGUUGGCGAGGUAAUGGCUCACCAAGGCGACGACGGGUAGCCGGCCUGAGAGGGCGACCGGCCACACUGGGACUGAGACACGGCCCAGACUCCUACGGGAGGCAGCAGUGGGGAAUAUUGGGCAAUGGAGGAAACUCUGACCCACCGACGCCGCGUGAGGGAUGAAGACCUUCGGGUUGUAAACCUCUUUCAGCAGGGAAUAAGCGAAAGUGAAGGUACCUGCAGAAGAAGCACCGGCUAACUAUGUGCCAGCAGCCGCCGUAA
rnacentral:rRNA from 1 species